GAUCCUGGCUCAGGAUGAACGCUAGCUACAGGCUUAACACAUGCAAGUCGAGGGGCAUCAGUUUGGUUUGCUUGCAAACCAAAGCUGGCGACCGGCGCACGGGUGAGUAACACGUAUCCAACCUGCCUCAUACUCGGGGAUAGCCUUUCGAAAGAAAGAUUAAUAUCCGAUAGCAUAUAUUUCCCGCAUGGGUUUUAUAUUAAAGAUUUAUCGGUGUACGAUGGGGAUGCGUUCCAUUAGGUAG
rnacentral:rRNA from 1 species